AUUGAACGCUGGCGGCAGGCCUAACACAUGCAAGUCGAACGAGUGGCGGACGGGUGAGUAAUGACUGGGAAACUGCCUGAUGGAGGGGGAUAAAUACUGGAAACGGUAGCUAAUAACGCAUACCAUCGGAUGUGCCCAGAUGGGAUUAGCUAGUAGGUGGGGUAAAGGCUCACCUCGGCGACGAUCCCUAGCUGGUCUGAGAGGAUGACCAGCCACACGGGGACUUAGACACGGGCCAGGCUCCUACGGGCGGCAGCAGUGGGGAUGAUUGCCCAAUGGGCGAAAGCCUGCUGCAGCCAUGCCGCGUGUAUGAAGAAGGCCUUCGGUUUGUAAAUUACUUUCAGCGUGUAGGCUUUACCCGCAGAAGAAGCUCCGGCUAACUCCGUGCCAGCCGCCGCUGUAAUAC
rnacentral:rRNA from 1 species